rnacentral:rRNA from 1 species
AGAGUUUGAUCCUGGCUCAGGAUGAACGCUAGCUACAGGCUUGACACAUGCAAGUCGAGGGAAACGGGAGAAUAGCUUGCUAUUCUUUGUCGUCGACCGGCGCACGGGUGAGUAACGCGUAUCCAACCUUCCCAUAACUAAGGAAUACCCCGUAGAAAUGCGGCCUAAUCCCUUAUGGUCUCUUAUGCCUGUCAUGGGAAUAAGAGUAAAGAUUUAUCGGUUAUGGAUGGGGAUGCGUCUGAUUAGCUUGCUGGCGGGUAACGGCCCACCAGGGCAUCGAUCAGUAGGGGUUCUGAGAGGAAGGUCCCCCACAUUGGAACUGAGACACGGUCCAAACUCCUACGGGAGGCAGCAGUGAGGAAUAUUGGUCAAUGGGCGAGAGCCUGAACCAGCCAAGUAGCGUGCAGGACGACGGCCCUAUGGGUUGUAAACUGCUUUUAAGGUGAAUAAAGAGGGGCACGUGUGCCCUGUUGCAUGUAGCCUUGGAAUAAGGACCGGCUAAUUCCGUG